rnacentral:rRNA from 1 species
GAUUAAGUAUAGUAAGGGCGCAUGGUGGAUGCCUCGGCAUGGGCAGGCGAUGAAGGGCGUGGCAAGCUGCGAUAAGCCGCGGGGAGCCGCAAGCAGGCUGUGAUCCGCGGAUUCCCGAAUGGGGCAACCCGGCCGGUCGAAGACCGGUCAUCCCCGAACUGAAUCCAUAGGUUCGGGGAGGCGAACCCGGGGAACUGAAACAUCUCAGUACCCGGAGGAAAAGAAAGCAAAAGCGAUUCCCUGAGUAGUGGCGAGCGAAAGGGGAACAGCCCAAACCGGCGUCGUUUCGGCGGCGUCGGGGUUGUAGGGCCCGCCAUAAGGGGUCGGAAGGUGAAGUCGAAGCGCGCUGGAAAGCCGCACCAUAGAGGGUGAUAGUCCCGUAGGCGUAAGCUGACCGAUCUCGGCGGUGUCCCUGAGUACCACGGGACCGGGGAAAUCCUGUGGGAAGCUGCCAGCACCAUCUGGCAAGGCUAAAUACUCGCCCAUGACCGAUAGCGUACCAGUACCGUGAGGGAAAGGUGAAAAGAACGCCUAGUAGGCGAGUGAAAAGGACCUGAAACCAUGCGCCUACAACCAGUCGGAGCCUCUCUGCUUCUUGUAAGCAGAUGGGGUGACGGCGUGCCUUUUGCAGAAUGAGCCUACGAGUUGCUCCUCUCUGGCAAGGCUAAGUGCCUCAGGCACGGAGCCGUAGCGAAAGCGAGUCCGAACAGGGCGACCUAGUCAGAGGGGGCAGACGCGAAACCGGGUGAGCUACCCUUGGCCAGGUUGAAGCGUGGGUAAGACCACGUGGAGGACCGAACCGGUUGGCGUUGAAAAGCCAUCGGAUGAGCUGAGGGUAGGGGUGAAAGGCCAACCAAACCCGGAGAUAGCUCGUACUCCCCGAAAUGCAUAGAGGUGCAGCGUCGCAGCCGAGUGUGCGGGAGGUAGAGCACUGAUUGGGCUAGGGCCCUUCACCGGGUACCAAACCCAGACAAACUCCGAAUGCCCGCACAUGCUCUGCGGCAGUGAGGGCAUGGGCGAUAAGGUCCAUGUCCGAGAGGGAGACAACCCAGACCGACAGCUAAGGCCCCCAAGUCCAGGCUAAGUUGAUCAAAGGAGGUCGGGCUGCUGAGACAACCAGGAGGUUGGCUUAGAAGCAGCCAUUCCUUUAAAGAGUGCGUAACAGCUCACUGGUCGAGCGGCCCGGCGCCGAAAAUUGUCGGGCAUCAAGCCUGGCGCCGAAGCUUCGGGUUUGCAGCUUUAGGCUGCAAGCGGUAGGGGAGCAUUCCAGUUGCGCUGAAGUCGCCUCGUGAGGGGCGGUGGAGCGACUGGAAAAGAAAAUGUAGGCAUAAGUAACGAGAAGACGGGUGAAAAACCCGUCCGCCGUAAGCCCAAGGGUUCCUGCUCAACGUUAAUCGGAGCAGGGUUAGCCGGGACCUAAGCCGAGGCCGAAAGGCGUAGGCGAUGGAUAACGGGUUAAUAUUCCCGUGCCACCUAAAGGCGUUAACCUGAGGCGGGACGCAGAAGCGUAAGGUCCGCGCCCUGACGGAAUAGGGCGUUGAAGCCCGUAGGCUGGGUGGUAGGCAAAUCCGCCACCCGCUAAGGCCGAAAGGCGACAGUAGGGGGACCCGCAAGGGAAACCCAUAGAGGCCCCAAGCACGCUGCCAAGAAAAGCGUCGCAGGUUGCCUUUGGGUGCCCGUACCGGAAACCGACACAGGUGGGCGAGGCGAGCAUCCUCAGGCGCUCGAGUGAUCCGUGGCUAAGGAACUCGGCAAAUUGGCCCCGUAACUUCGGGAGAAGGGGCGCCUCCUCCCAUCUAAAAGCGGGAGGGGGCCGCAGUGACCAGGCCCAAGCGACUGUUUAACAAAAACACAGCUCUCUGCGAACUCGUAAGAGGACGUAUAGGGAGUGACACCUGCCCGGUGCCGGAAGGUUAAGGAAGGGGGUUAGCCGCAAGGCGAAGCUCCCGACCGAAGCCCCGGUAAACGGCGGCCGUAACUAUAACGGUCCUAAGGUUCAUCGCGAGCCUUAGUAAAACCGAACUAUAUGCGGGGAACCCCUCAAACAGCCAGGCAGUACUCGCCUGCCCCAAGCAGGCAGUAAAAAUCUGCAGGACAUGGGGGCAAUCCGCAGGGAAGGCUCUCCCUAAAAAAGGGAGAGAACCCUCAGAGACUUUACGUUCGGUCCCGCUAGCCUAUGCUUGGGGGACAAUCUUGGUAGCCGUGCAAAAGCGAUCAUGAAACUUGAAGCACAAUGGGUUGUGGGUUUUGUGGAUGGAGAAGGAUGCUUUCAUAUAGGCAUCAAUGCCCAUCCCGAAAUGAACACAGGCUACCAAGUGAUCCCCGAAUUCGUAGUGGUGCAGCACAAGCGGGACGUUCAGGUGCUCUAUGCCCUCAAAGCUUUCUUUGGGUGCGGUGUGGUGCGUCUUAAUCAUGGCGACCGUAUGGCGUAUCGGGUGCGAAAGUUCGAACACCUGCGUCAUCGCAUCGUGCCCUUCUUUGAAAAGCACCCGCUAAAGACAAAAAAACGCCUAGAUUUUAUUGCGUUUCGGCGGGUUUUGCUCUUAAUGGAGAAGGGUGAGCACCUAAACGCCGAAGGGCUUGAGCGCAUCCGGAAAAUUGCAGAACGGAUGCAUAGGCAGCGGGAAAGAUAAAGUCCGGCUCCUCUGGAAACAGAGCGAGGUAAACCGAGCGAAAUUCCUUGUCGGGUAAGUUCCGACCUGCACGAAUGGUGUAACGACUUGGGCACUGUCUCGGCCACGGGCUCGGUGAAAUUGUGGUGCCAGUGAAGACGCUGGCUACCCGCCGCGGGACGGAAAGACCCCGUGCACCUUUACUGCAGCCUGGCAUUGACGCCGGCCAGGGCGUGUGCAGGAUAGGCGGGAGGCUGAGAAGCCGGGGCGCCAGCUCCGGUGGAGCCGCCCUUGAGAUACCGCCCUCGCUCUGGCUGGCGCCUAACCCACGGCCGUUAUCCGGUCGGGGGACCGUGUCAGGUGGGUGGUUUGACUGGGGCGGUCGCCUCCUAAAGAGUAACGGAGGCUCCCAAAGGUCCCCUCAGCACGGUCGGUAAUCGUGCGUAGAGUGUAAGGGCAUAAGGGGGCUUGACUGCGAGACACACACGUCGAGCAGGGGCGAAAGCCGGGCCUAGUGAUCCGGCGGUUCCGCAUGGAAGGGCCGUCGCUCAAAGGAUAAAAGGUACGCCGGGGAUAACAGGCUGAUCGGGGCCAAGAGUUCACAUCGACGCCCCGGUUUGGCACCUCGAUGUCGGCUCAUCGCAUCCUGGGGCUGGAGAAGGUCCCAAGGGUUGGGCUGUUCGCCCAUUAAAGCGGUACGUGAGCUGGGUUCAGAACGUCGUGAGACAGUUCGGUCCCUAUCUGCGGCGGGCGCAGGAGGCUUGCGCGGACCUGUCCCUAGUACGAGAGGACCGGGAUGGACGGACCUCUAGUGUACCAGUUGUGCCGCCAGGUGCACCGCUGGGUAGCUAUGUCCGGACGGGAUAAGCGCUGAAGGCAUCUAAGCGCGAAGCCCACCGCAAGAUGAGGCCUCCCCUACGGGCCGUCCGAGACGAGGACGUUGAUAGGCGGCAGGUGUAAGCGGGGUAACCCGUUGAGCCGAGCCGUACUAAUCGCCCGUGUGACUUAAUCCCUCCC